GACGAACGCUGGCGGCGUGCUUAACACAUGCAAGUCGAACGGAAAGGCCCUGCUUUUGUGGGGUGCUCGAGUGGCGAACGGGCGAGUAACACGUGAGUAACCUGCCCUUGACUUUGGGAUAACUUCAGGAAACUGGGGCUAAUACCGGAUAGGAGCUCCUGCUGCAUGGUGGGGGUUGGAAAGUUUCGGCGGUUGGGGAUGGACUCGCGGCUUAUCAGCUUGUUGGUUGGGUAGUGGCUUACCAAGGCUUUGACGGGUAGCCGGCCUGAGAGGGUGACCGGCCACAUUGGGACUGAGAUACGGCCCAGACUACUACGGGAGGCAGCAGUGGGGAAUAUUGCACAAUGGGCGGAAGCCUGAUGCAGCAACGCCGCGUGCGGGAUGACGGCCUUCGGGUUGUAAACCGCUUUCGCCUGUGACGAAGCGUGAGUGACGGUAAUGGGUAAAGAAGCACCGGCUAACUACGUG
rnacentral:rRNA from 1 species